rnacentral:rRNA from 1 species
GACGAACGCUGGCGGCGUGCUUAACACAUGCAAGUCGAACGGAAAGGCCCUGCUUUUGUGGGUUGCUCGAGUGGCGAACGGGUGAGUAACACGUGAGUAACCUGCCCUUGACUUUGGGAUAACUUCAGGAAACUGGGGCUAAUACCGGAUAUGAGCUCCUGCUGCAUGGUGGGGGUUGGAAAGUUUCGGCGGUUGGGGAUGGACUCGCGGCUUAUCAGCUUGUUGGUGGGGUAGUGGCUUACCAAGGCUUUGACGGGUAGCCGGCCUGAGAGGGUGACCGGCCACAUUGGGACUGAGAUACGGCCCAGACUCCUACGGGAGGCAGCAGUGGGGAAUAUUGCACAAUGGGCGGAAGCCUGAUGCAGAAACGCCGCGUGCGGGAUGACGGCCUUCGGGUUGUAAACCGCUUUCGCCUGUGACGAAGAGUGAGUGACGGUAAUGGGUAAAGAAGCACCGGCUAACUACGUG